UACGUAGGGCGCAAGCGUUUGUCCGGAAUCAUUGGGCGUAAAGAGCGUGUAGGCGGCCAGAUAAGUCCGCUGUGAAAACUCGAGGCUCAACUUCGAGCUGUCGGUGGAAACUAUUUGGCUAGAGUCCGGAAGAGGAGAGUGGAAUUCCUGGUGUAGCGGUGAAAUGCGCAGAUAUCAGGAGGAACACCAAUUGCGAAGGCAGCUCGCUGGGACGUUACUGACGCUGAGACGCGAAAGCGUGGGGAGCAAACAGG
rnacentral:rRNA from 1 species